GGAGAGGUGCCGGAGUGGACGAUCGGGGCGGUCUCGAAAACCGUUGUGGCCCUUGUGACCACCGUGGGUUCGAAUCCCACCCUCUCCG
rnacentral:tRNA from 1 species